rnacentral:rRNA from 1 species
AGAGUUUGAUCCCGGCUCAGGAUAAACGCUAGCGGCGUGCCUUAUGCAUGCAAGUCGAACGGUACUCUGGUUUUCGGACUAGGGGAGAGUGGCGAACGGGUGAGUAACACGUAGGUAACCUGCCUCUAAGUGGGGGACAACCUCGGGAAACUGGGGCUAAUACCGCAUAUGGUGGUGGAGGUAAAGCUUCAUCACUAAAGCCUUCGGGUGCUUAGAGAGGGGCCUGCGUCCGAUUAGCUAGUUGGUGGGGUAACGGCUCACCAAGGCAGUGAUCGGUAGCUGGUCUGAGAGGACGGUCAGCCUCACUGGGACUGAGAUACGGCCCAGACUCCUACGGGAGGCAGCAGCAAGGAAUAUUGGGCAAUGGGCGAAAGCCUGACCCAGCAACGCCGCGUGGGGGAGGAAGGCCUUCGGGUCGUAAACCCCUUUUAUCAGGGAAGAAUAAUGACGGUACCUGGUGAAUAAGUCUCGGCUAACUACGUGCCAGCAACCGCGGUAAUACGUAGGAGGCAAGCGUUAUCCGGAUUUACUGGGCGUAAAGAGCGCGUAGGCGGCCUUUCAAGUCGGAUGUAAAAUCUCCCGGCUCAACUGGGAGCGACCAUCCGAUACUGUUGGGCUAGAGGGCAGCAGAGGGAGGUGGAAUUCCCGGUGUAGCGGUGAUGUGCGUAGAUAUCGGGAGGAACACCAGUGGCGAAGGCGGCCUCCUGGGCUGUACCUGACGCUGAGGCGCGAAAGCGUGGGGAGCGAACAGGAUUAGAUACCCUGGUAGUCCACGCCGUAAACGAUGGAUACUAGAUAUGGGGAGUAUCGACCCUCUCCGUGUCGAAGCUAACGCUUUAAGUAUCCCGCCUGGGGACUACGGCCGCAAGGCUAAAACUCAAAGGAAUUGACGGGGGCCCGCACAAGCAGCGGAGCGUGUGGUUUAAUUCGAUCCAACACGAAGAACCUUACCAGGGCUUGACAUGUUGGAAGUAGGAACCCGAAAGGGGGACGACCUGUUAAGUCAGGAGCCAUCACAGGUGCUGCAUGGCUGUCGUCAGCUCGUGCCGUGAGGUGUCGGGUUAAGUCCCAUAACGAGCGCAACCCUUGUUGCCAGUUGAUUUCUCUGGCGAGACUGCCCCGCAAAACGGGGAGGAAGGUGGGGAUGACGUCAAGUCAGCAUGGCCCUUAUGUCCUGGGCUACACACACGCUACAAUGGACGGUACAAUGGGUAGCAAUGGAGCGAUCCGGAGCCAAUCCCAAAAGCCGUCCUCAGUUCGGAUUGCAGGCUGAAACUCGCCUGCAUGAAGUCGGAGUUGCUAGUAACCGCGUAUCAGCAUGGCGCGGUGAAUACGUUCUCGGGCCUUGUACACACCGCCCGUCACGUCAUGAAAGUUGGUAACACCUGAAGUCGAUGGGCUAACCCUUUCGGGGGGGGCAGUCGCCGAAGGUGGGGCCAGCGAUUGGGACGAAGUCGUAACAAGGUA